CCGGCCGAGUGACCCUGGGCCUGUCUUCUGCUCUCUGACCUCAGGUUUCUUCUGUGAAAUGGGCUGUGAAAUGGGCCGUAGCUCUGAGGCAUGAAUGAAACGACCGAGGGGCUCAGCAGAGGGGAACCCCACCUUCCAGACCGAGGUGGGGACAGAGAGGGCUGUUUGCAUCGUCGAUGGGAAACACUGGUUUGAAAGCAAAUAACCCACAGCAGGGCACUUCCUCAAAAAUUAAAAAUAGGAUUGCAGCCGGCGGAGGGGUGAACAAGAUAUGGCACACACGUGCGAUGCGACAUGACGCAGCCUUCAAGAGGACGGGCGUUCUGACAGAGGGCGCCACGUGGAGGGAUCCAGGGGCCGCGACCGGACAGAUGCUGUGCGAUGUCACGUGUUGGACGUCCCUGGCGUCGUCGGAGUCACAGAGACCGCUGAUGAAACACACAAACAAACCAACGAAAAGGCAAACGGCCUGACGAUCCUUCCCUGUCGGAGCUGCCGUGGGCUCAGCUGCGCUAACGGCUUUCCCCCAAGCCCCUGGCAAGCUCCAGCUUGACCUGUAGGACCUACUACUACUGAUGCCUCUUCCUCCAGGCAGCCCUCGCUGAUCUCCCGGGUAGGUCCCAGCUCUACCGCUGUCCUCCCCCCCACCCCCCGCCCCGCCACCCAGCCCUUCAUCUGGCCAACCCCUGAGCCUCUGGAGCUGGAGUGUCCAGGAGCGAGCCUAGGCUGGGGUGAGGGGUUGGGGAGCGGGGAGCCCCGCUUUGAGGGUGGGAGAGUAGACAGCAGCAAGGGAAGGGACACUUAGGAGACCAAGACCCCCUCGCUCAAGAGGCACUGUUGACUCACCCGCCUGCACCUGCCGUGUGGCCCGAGGAGACCCCAGUGUGGGGACAGAGCGGGAUAUGCAUUCAGGCCGCCAGGACCGGGCGGGGGCUGCAGGACCCAGAGGGCCACGUGACUGACAGCGACUCUUGAACCUGGCCCGGUCCCGAGUGGGGAGGAAGGGGCCCUGCGGGGAGAAGCAGGCGAGGCAGAAAAGAUUGUCCUUUCAAAGGCCAGUUGUGAAAGCGAGCGUGUGUCUGUGUGUUGUGUUCGCGUCUCUGUUAUGUUUGUGUCUGUGUGUCGUGGGCCUGUGCCGUACGUGCGUGUGUUUCUGUCCCCUUGUGUCCACGUGCGUAUGUGGCAAUUUUGAGGAACUGAAUCCCCUGGUCGGAUGUGUUUGCCACCCAGAGGGUGUGGGAGGUGCCUCCCUGCCCUACAGCCCCACUGUCCCCAGGCCUUCUGGGCUCUCGGCCACACCCCAACCCUGACCUCUUCUCUCUCUCACCCCCCGCCCCGGGCCCCCGAACUUCCCUCCUGCCUGAGUUCUCCUCUCCCAUCGGCUGCCAGGGGAAGAUGUGGAAACCUGAAACCCUCUGCGGCUCCCACCGCCGGCUCCAAGUCUCUCUGUCCCCUGUCCCAAGUCGCCGGCUCCACGGAGAGUUCUCUGAAACAUCUUCUGGCCCCGUGCCAGGGCCGGGGCCUCCUUGUCCCGACCCAGCCCCCCAUGUGCCACGAGCACAGAGAUAUCUGUCCCCCACACCCCACUGCCCCCCAGAGGAGGGGUUUUUCUGGCUAUUUGCCUCCUUGCAUUGAGAACAAGGCCUGGUAUAGAGCAGGUGCUCAAUAAAUAGCUGAAUGAAUGGGGGUGGGGGAGGGGCUGGAGAGGGCAGAGGAGCCGAACAGGGUGAGGCCUCUGCUGUGGGUCUGGGCCUGGUGGGGGGGACACAUUCUGGGGAGUUGGUGAAACCCCAUGAGCCGGGCACCUCAUGGUCUAAGAAGCAUCCCCUUGAUGCGCUGGACUCAAGGGCAAGUGUCAUCCGUGGGGUGGGGACCACCAGGGGCUGGGCUCAUCCAGUGCAGUGGCUUAGGCUGGGUGAGGUGUGGGGGACGGGGGGAGGCGAGAAGCAGGCGGUGGGUGCAGAGGUGAGACUUAGGAGGCGGAGCGAGCAGGAACAUCACCGCGGUCUUUCCUGGGAUGCCGGACGACCUCAAGGCCACCUGGCUUCAGGAUCCGUCUGAGCGGUGGAGACAGAACCGUGGGGGG